AUAGAAUCUGGACCUUCAUGUUGAUGACAACACAUGAUACCAGCAGUGGAAUACGUUGUGUGAAGUGAGGAUGGAUAAUCUAAAAACAUGGCAGCUCUCCCUUCUCCUGUUCCCAUUGCUAUGAUGACUCAGACUACAUUACUGAGAUCAGGGUCACCAUGACCUGGUAGGCUUCUGAUGAGCAAGACCCAUCUUGGAAGUCUGCAAUAGCCUUUCAGCAUGACCAGGGACAACACCUAUGCCCAGCUGUGCCUCAUGCAGAUGCUGUAGGU